rnacentral:rRNA from 1 species
UACGUAGGUCCCGAGCGUUAUCCGGAUUUAUUGGGCGUAAAGCGAGCGCAGGCGGUUUGUUAAGUCUGAAGUGAAAGGCUGUGGCUUAACCAUAGUAUGCUUUGGAAACUGGUUAACUUGAGUGCAGAAGAGGAGAGUGGAAUUCCAUGUGUAGCGGUGAAAUGCGUAGAUAUAUGGAGGAACACCGGUGGCGAAAGCGGCUCUCUGGUCUGUAACUGACGCUGAGGCUCGAAAGCGUGGGGAGCAAACAGG